rnacentral:rRNA from 1 species
GCGUUCAAUCUGAGCCNGUGGUCCCACCUGACCCCAUGCCGAACUCAGAAGUGAAACGCCGUAGCGCCGAUGGUAGUGUGGGGUCUCCCCAUGCGAGAGUAGGGAACUGCCAGGC